UAAUCGCUUCACUUGCAACAUCCCUGAAACAAUCGGCAAAUCGACUGUCUCCGUUGUGACAUUCGCCAACAACAAGUUCAAAGGAUGUAUUCCACGUAGCAUUGGAAAGAUGUCGAACUUGGACGAGAUCAUUUUCUCAAACAAUAACCUCGGUGGUUGUUUCCCUCAAGAAAUUGGAUUGCUUCGCAAUGUUACUAUUUUCGAUGUUAGCAAGAACUCGUUCGUGGGUAGCUUGCCCGCAAACUUUUCGGGCUUCGAGAAGGUUGACGUUUUGGAUAUUUCCGGGAACAAGUUGACGGGGAGUGUGCCGGAGGAUAUUUGCAAGUUGCCGAGCUUGUCUAGUUUCAAGUUUUCUUACAACUAUUUCAGUGAGGAGCAUAUGGCUUGUAUAAAGCCUGAAAGGAAGAACAUUGUGGUGGAAGAUACUGGUAAUUGUGUGGCUGGCCGGAUGAAGCAAAAGACAGAUAAAGAGUGCAAACAGAUGGUGAGUAACCCGGUUGAUUGUAGCAAGGACAAAUGUACUGGAGGGUCUCCACCUUCUAAGCCUAAAUCACCACCACUACCACCGGUCCACUCCCCACCCCCACCAGUGCACUCCCCACCCCCACCCGUCCACUCACCACCCCCACCCGUCUUCUCACCACCACCACCAGUGCACUCACCACCCCCACCCGUCUACUCACCACCCCCACCACCCGUCUACUCACCACCCCCACCACCAGUGCACUCACCACCCCCACCCGUCUACUCACCACCACCACCAGUGCACUCACCACCCCCACCCGUCUACUCACCACCCCCACCCGUCUACUCCCCACCACCACCCGUCUACUCACCACCACCACCACCAGUCCAGUCCCCACCCCCACCCGUCCACUCACCACCACCACCAGUCCAGUCCCCACCCCCACCAGUACAAUCUCCACCUCCACGAACUCCAUCUCCUCGUCCUGUUGUGUCUACACCGCCACCUACAAAAGAUAUUGUCCUCCCACCAAACAUAGGAUUCGAAUACCAAUCGCCACCUCCACCAAUGUUUCCAAGCUACUAAACAGUACUACAGCCUUAACAUCUUUGUAUUGUAUAUUCUCGCUCUCGGGCAUAAAAAGGAAAAAAAAAAAGAGCUAUAAAUUACAAUUAUGUCGUUACCUUUUCUUGCGUUUGCAAUUACUAUUCAAAUUGUAACAUCAUUGCGAAAGCUCUUAUAUUUAUAUAUGAAUCUUAAUUACUAGUAACUUUCAUCUUUUCCCUCUUCCUCUUUUGUUAAUAUUGGAAAAAUAAAUAUUUGUGAUAUAUAAUUUAUAUGUCACUUCAGCAUGUUGUGUUGGUUUCGGGUUGCAUCAAUUUCAAUCGGAUCAAUUUGAUUUUUGAUCAUUUAUGUUUAUUUUAGCUGGGUGUUUUAGGUUUUUCAUUCAAGAGUAACACUUAAUUUCGAGUUUUUUAUUCAUGUUUUUUUAAGUUUGAUUUUUUUGAUAUUUAUGUUGGAAUUGUGUAGGUUUGAUUAUUUACUUUUUGAAAAAAGUUUUGGUUUUCUCCUUAUUCUAAUUUGAUAUCGCAACUGAUGUUCCAACAUAAAUUAGAACAAGAUAGAUUAAUAAAAGUUUUCAAAGAGAAAUGAUGCACAAGACUUGUUAACAUAGUUCAUAUAACAUUCUUACUUUGUAAAGCCUCGUUAAGGGUGUACAAAAUUCGAUGGAAAAAGCCACCCAAAUCAACUCAAUUCGAUUUUUUUGUUCGAUUUAAUUGAAUUCAAAUAUCUAAAUAUAAUAUUUUAUAUUUUUAAUUCAAACCCUUAAACUUUUUUACUUUUCCUAAAAAUUUUUACUCCCUCCAACUUUCCCCCAAAACUUUUACUUCUCUCCUAUCCCACCCCCAAACCCAUUCCUCCACCCCCCCAAAUAUUUUUUUGAAUAUUCCCCCCUCAAAAUUUUACUCUCCAAACUCUAAAACUUUUUAUUUUCCCCUAAAACUGUUACUUUUCAUCAUAUACCCUCAAAUCAAAAAUCAAAAUCAUCCAAUUUCACAUAUUUUCCAUGAAAUUGUCUAAUAUUCAAGAAAUCUUCAUUAUGAUCUCCAUGAGUUGCAAUUACAUGUUUCACGUCAACAAAAGCAAAUCCAAAUAUAACACUAAAGGCAUUCAAAUUAUAUAUAAUCAUGUGAUAUUAUAAUAGAACAGUCAACAAUAUUAAUUAUUUGGUCUAACUAAUAAUAUUAUAAAAUUCUAAAGAUCUAAUUAUAUUAAAAAUUAAAUAUAGCGACUAAAUCUGAAGCUUAAGGAAAAAACCAUAUACCCAAAUUUCCUUGCUUUUAUAUAAUAAAGGUAUUCAUCUUAACUAGUGCCAUCAAUGUUGGUGUAAUUAAUCUUCCAAAAAUGGUAUAAUUAAUCACAUAUUACUAGAAUUUAACAAUUAUGAUGAAGAUGAAAUGAAUGAAACAUUUAUUAUGACAGAUUUUGGGUUGAACACGUGGCUGAGGGAAUCCAAAACAUCGCUGGAAAUGGUAAGUUUCCAUUUAAUAAAAUUGUUUUCCAGUUUUUUAUAUUAAAAGCUCAAAUUCGGUUUUUGUCCCUCUACUAUAUUAGAAUUAAAAAUUCAGUCUGUUUUAUUUUAAUUUAGCAUAAUUUAGCCCUCUUACUUCAUUAUUAAUUAAUCUAAAAUGUCAACACCAUUAACUAUUUUAAUCAAAAUACUUAUAUGAAUUUUUUUAAAAAAAUCAGUGUUAAGCAUUUAGUUAAUACUUAAUUUUUUAUUAAAUUUUUUUGAUUAAUUUUUUUUAGAAAAAGCACAAUUAAAAAAAGAAUAAUUAACAAUGCUAAAAAAAUUGAUAUAAAAAUAGAAUGACCAAAUCAUAGUGAAUUGGAGUAUAAAAACUAAAUCAUGAAUUUUAGAUAUAGUAGAAGGACCAACAUAUAAUUUGACCUAUUAUAGAAUAAAGAUAGAAAAUUCAAGUUAAAAUUGGUUAAAUAGUAUCUAUACAUAAGCCUUACAUUUCGCUUCGCCUCUAAAGUUACAGAACCUCUAAUUAUAUGUGAAACCAGCAAACUUCUCGAGAACUAAAGCAAGAACCCAACAUCCCAUUCGUCCCCGAUAUAAGCUUCUUUCCAUCUCCAUCAACAUUGCCUAACCAGCCUCGGGCCUUCCAAGGUGAACAAACAAAAUGGCAAGUCGUCAAAGUUUUCAGGCCUUCGGCUGCUUUCAUUUGUUCUUUUGGAUUUUCUUUCGUUCAUUCACACCCACUUUCACAGCCGAAGCGUCUUCAAUCGCUGAUCGUCAGCUGUUGUCACUCCCCAAAAAUGGUAAACUCCCCGACGGGUAUGAAUAUACGGUGAAAACGACAGAGAAAUUCGAGAAUGAAAGGCUUAGGAGGGCUUUCAUUGCUCUUCAAGCAUGGAAGAAGGCUAUGUACUCUGACCCCAAGAACAUCACGAGCAACUGGUUCGGGCCCAACGUGUGUGAUUACAAAGGUGUUUAUUGUGUCCAAGCAAUGGAUGACCCCAAAUUAAAAGUUGUGGCUGGUAUUGAUCUUAACCAUGCUGACAUCGCCGGUUACCUUCCGGUGGAGUUGGGGUUGCUGACGGAUGUUGCAUUGAUCCAUUUAAACUCCAACAGGUUUUGUGGGAUCGUCCCUGAGAGCUUAUCUGAGCUUACACUUAUGCAUGAAUUUGAUGUUAGCAACAAUUGGUUCGUGGGGGAUUUCCCCAAAGUUGUACUGUCAUGGCCGAGCGUCAAGUAUAUUGAUCUCCGAUUCAAUAAUUUUGAAGGUUGUUUACCACCUGAGCUCUUCGAAAAGGAUCUAGAUGCAUUGUUUUUGAACGAUAAUCGCUUCACUUGCAACAUCCCUGAAACAAUUGGCAAAUCGACCGUCUCCGUUGUGACAUUCGCCAAUAACAAGUUCGAAGGAUGUAUACCACGUAGCAUUGGCAAGAUGUCGAACUUGGACGAGAUCAUUUUCUCAAACAAUAACCUCGGUGGUUGUUUCCCUCAAGAAAUUGGAUUGCUUCGCAAUGUUACUAUUUUCGAUGUUAGCAAGAACUCGUUCAUGGGUAGCUUGCCGGCAAACUUUUCGGGCUUUGAGAAGGUUGACAUUUUGGAUAUUUCCGGGAACAAG
rnacentral:lncRNA from 1 species